AGACGGUCUACAUUAGAUACCCCCGUAGUCCCAGCCGUAAACUAUGCUCGCUAGGUGUCAGGCAUGGCGCGACCGUGUCUGGUGCCGCAGGGAAGCCGUGAAGCGAGCCACCUGGGAAGUACGGCCGCAAGGCUGAAACUUAAAGGAAUUGGCGGGGGAGCACAACAACGGGUGGAGCCUGCGGUUUAAUUGGACUCAACGCCGGACAACUCACCGGGGACGACAGCAAUAUGUAGGCCAGGCUGAAGACCUUGCCUGAAUCGCUG
rnacentral:rRNA from 1 species